rnacentral:rRNA from 1 species
AGCGGAGGAAAAGAAACUAACAAGGAUUCCCCUAGUAACUGCGAGUGAAGCGGGAAAAGCUCAAAUUUAAAAUCUGGCAGUCUUUGAUUGUCCGAGUUGUAAUCUAGAGAAGUGUUAUCCGCGUUGGACCGUGUACAAGUCUCCUGGAAUGGAGCGUCAUAGAGGGUGAGAAUCCCGUCUUUGACACGGACUACCAAGGCUUUGUGAUGCGCUCUCAAAGAGUCGAGUUGUUUGGGAAUGCAGCUCAAAAUGGGUGGUAAAUUCCAUCUAAAGCUAAAUAUUGGCGAGAGACCGAUAGCGAACAAGUACCGUGAGGGAAAGAUGAAAAGAACUUUGGAAAGAGAGUUAAACAGUACGUGAAAUUGCUGAAAGGGAAACGCUUGAAGUCAGUCGCGUCGUUCAGAACUCAACCUUACUUUUGUGGGGUGUAUUUUCUGUUUGACGGGUCAGUAUCAAUUUUGACCGUUGGAUAAAGUCCUUUGGAAUGUGGCUUCUUCGGAAGUGUUAUAGCCUUUGGUCGCAUACAACGGUUGGGAUUGAGGUACUCAGCACGCUGCAAAGCCGGGUUUCGACCACGUUCGUGCUUAGGAUACUGGCAUAAUGGCUUUAAUCGACCCGUCUUGAAACACGGACCAAGGAGUCUAACAUGCCUGCGAGUGUUUGGGUGGAAAACCCGAGCGCGUAAUGAAAGUGAAAGUUGAGAUCCCUGUCGUGGGGAGCAUCGACGCCCGGACCAGACCUUUUGUGACGGAUCCGCGGUAGAGCAUGUAUGUUGGGACCCGAAAGAUGGUGAACUAUGCCUGAAUAGGGUGAAGCCAGAGGAAACUCUGGUGGAGGCUCGUAGCGAUUCUGACGUGCAAAUCGAUCGUCAAAUUUGGGUAUAGGGGCGAAAGACUAAUCGAACCAUCUAG